UAGAAAUAGGAAAAUGCUAUAAUAACACAACACAAGAAAAAAAAAACACAGAGGCAACUUUGAUCACGCAUGCUCCCUUGGCGUCCAGCUCUUUUUUCCCCCACCACAUCAUUUCUCCUAAGUUGGAAAGUCAAGGAAAAGCCCGAGCGAAGUGUUGGCCACAGUUAAACCAAUCAUUCGGGGAAAGCCAUCUCAUAUUUAAAAUGCCUGUGGUAUCAAGGUGAAGACAAAGAAGAUGAUGCCAAGCAUACCUCAAAUUCCACCAAGGCUUGGUUGCAGAAGAAGUCCUGGAAGAUUCUACAGGGCCAUCACAGUCACCUGACUUAAACCCCAUAGAAAAUCUCUGGUGGGAUUUCAAGAAGGCAGUCGCAGCACAAAAACCCAAGAAUAUUACUGAACUGGAGGCCAUUGUUCAUGAGGAAUGGGCUAAGAUUCUUCAGGAAUGCCCCUAGAAGCUGGUGUCUGGCUAUUCAUCUCGUUACAGCAGGUCAUAACAGUAAAAGGGUGCUCUACUAAGUACUAAAGACGCUUGCCAUGAAGGGGUUGAAUAAUGUUGAAACUGGAGAAGUCAUUUGUCAUUUGAAGUCAAGAAACCAUUGAAGAAUUAAUUGUGUUAAACCAUUCCAAUUGCUUUUGUUUGAUUUGUUCGUUGCAAACAGCUGAAAGUCUGUACAUUUUGACAAUAAACCUGAUUUGCAAUGGGGGUUGAAUAAUUUUGAUUGCAACUGUAUACAUGGAUAUAUAGCAUAUACAGAACCAGGCACAGGUUAAGUGUAGGGUUCUCAGUGUAAACUCAGUAAGCGGGUUCAAUGCAGAUGUUUCACUUCACAGCCUGAGGAGGAAAAGAAAAAUCUCCAUUACCUGACUUCAUAUUUAACACCCAGCACUGCACUUACACCGUGGGUGGAGAAGAUAAUGCUCUGAAAAGAGAGGUGGGGGAAAAAAAACAAAAAUUAUAAAAUUAAUAAAGCUUUUUAGCUGGCAUAAUCAGUCAUUUUGAACUUGACUGGAGAGAGCAACAAAACAAAUAAAAUUU
ensembl:lncRNA